GUCGACCUUCUGUGCGGUCUAUAACGGCCAUGGCCCUGUGCCUUCUGGUCUUAAGGUUGAAACGAAAACAUUGACAACGCAGACUAAUUUUCAUUGCUACUGUAGGGGAACUACUACAGCACUCACCCUACUUAAACAGGGUGAAGAUCUUGUCAUUGCACAAAUUGGGAACUCGGGAGCUGUACUAGGGACGAGAGACGAGAAUAAUGCAUUGAUUCCAGUGCGCUUGACUAUGAUGGGUUACAAGCCUCACCGCCUUCCUGCAGCAAGGAUCCAAAAAUGCAGAUAGCCCGAGCCACAAAAUCGCAAGGACACUCCCUACCUCAUACCCACGCCUUUCAUCUCCCAUAGACCCAUCGCUGAUGAAGACGAGUUUGUAGUCUUAGCAACAGCCGGGGUUUGGGACGUGCUCUCGAACGAGGACGUGGUAACUCUCGUGGCCACUAGCCCUACACGCUCGGAUGCAGCUCAAGCAGUAGUGGGUGCAGCAAUUAGAGCAUGGAUGAAUAUGUAUCCAACUUCAGAGGUUGAUGACUGUGCAGUGGCCUGCCUCUUUCUCAACUCAACAACCAAUUCAACACCACACCCACUAGGCCAACUCACACAACACUAAUACUCCAUGUUUUGGUCAUCGUUUGAUUCAUAAGAUUUCUAACUACUAUAUGUUUUAUUACUGCAUAUUGUGGGAUGGGAUUCAAGCUUCUUCAUAACUAUUGUUGUUUCUUCGAUAAUUUUUCUUA